GCCUCGGUAGUGCAUUUGGCAGCACAACAGACCGGAAAUCUGUACAAGUGGGUUCAAGUCCUGCCGGAAGUU
rnacentral:tRNA from 1 species